UGCUACUGCUCUCAAUAACAUUGCUGCCCUGAAUUUAUCAGGUGCCAUCGACAAAGGUCAGUGGGAAAACGUUGUGAUGGACUACUUUCUGGACACCGAUCGUGCCAUGCUAUGCUGAAUCUCUCUCACUCUUAAAAUAACAUGUUUUGAAAUCAGUGGAACACAACCAGCCAAACAAGCUGUGCAAACUAAACGGAAACACAGGAUGUUUUAUAAAAAGGGUUUGCAGUCUGUCGUGAAGCUUUCAUCCAUGUAUACAGUGUGGCAUACGGCGGGGAGAGAUGAGGGGAGUGGUUAUUGAUGGGAGAUAUCUGGCAGCCGGUUGGCUCCACCCCCGGGCCUUAUAUGGACUUCCUGCCCCAACGAGGCAAGGCUGUGGCUUGUUAAACCAGGGGGUGCUUGGGUAUAAAGGAAGCAGCAGCCUGCACAACGGGGCAGAGUAGGAGAGAACCAAGAGUAUUAUGAAGAGUGUGACAUUACCGCCACCUGUGACAUUACCGCCACAUUACCGCCAUCUGUGACAUUACCGCCACCUGUGACAUUACCGCCACCUGUGACAUUACCGCCACCUGUGACAUUACCGCCACAUUACCGCCAUCUGUGACAUUACCGCCACCUGUGACAUUACCGCCACCUGUGACAUUACCGCCACCUGUGACAUUACCGCCACCUGUGACAUUACCGCCACCUGUGACAUUACCGCCACCUGUGACAUUACCGCCACCUGUGACAUUACCGCCAUCUGUGUACCGGACCCGAGUGUGAGGAUUACCCCUGGAGAACGGAAUGGACAAAGAGAAUGGCUUGUGGACUGAGUUGGUGAAUUCCCCCUUUCUCCUUGUACCAAAACUCCACAUUUACAUUCUAUUUGUGAUAAUGGUGGAUGUUUUGGUAUUGAACUUGGUGAUGUGGAAACCCUACACCCUUGAGCCUGCUACAACAGCAUUAAUCAGUAGAACACACCUGACUCUCCUCCACCAGUCAUCAACAAGACAGCUGGCCCAAGCAAAGGCAGCAGCGCAGUCAUCAACUGCAUGCACCAUUUCUUCACCAACUACAGAGUUGGGGAAAUACGUGUGGACCUGAAUUGUGAUAACUGCAGUGGCCAACACAAUAACAAGUUUGUGCUCUGGUAUUGUGCCUGGUGGACCAUGCACAGGCUCCACCACAGUCUGGACCUCUACUUCCUGAUCACAGGCCACACCAAGGUUGCCCCUGACUGGUGCUUCGGGCUCAUCAAGCAGUGCUUCAGAAAGACCAGAGUGAACACUGUCUGAGAUUGCUGCUGUUGUGAAGGACAGCACUGUGACAGGGGUCAACAUCCCACAGCUGGUUGGACUGGAGGAUGCUUCGAUGCUCUGGAGCCUGGUGUUGUAGUCAAGGAGGGUUCUGACUGUCGGGACCAGGUUUCAGCUGCUACACAUCAUUCCAUAGAUGGUCUGCAUGCAAAAACACCAUCUGAAUUUUACACAGCUAGACAAACGCAUGUUUUUGAGAAGAUCAGGGAGUUUUGCGAUGAAGAGGUUAUGGACAUCACAUGCCCUGCACCAAAGUCAAGGGCAGGACAGAAACAGGCUCUCUGAAUAUAGAUUCCCUUGUUCAUGCGUGUUUGGACAGACCAGUUACCAGCACUAUCUGCAGUGCCUCUAUUCACAUGACUCUCUCCUAACACACACACCAUACGUUGCUGCUAUUUGUUUGUUAUCCUGCUGCUCAGCCAUUUUACCCCUGAUUGUAUGCAAAUAACUACCUAGUCUCUCACCCAUAUCAUUAUUGUACAUGCUGUAUAUUUUAUUUAGUUUGACACCAUCUUUCUGAUAUUGCUACUAUGCAAAUAACCAUUUGGCUGUAACGUUUAACCUUCUGUAGAGACCAUCCACUUAGCAAGAUGUUGAGAUAUAUAUAUAUAUAUAUAUAUGACUAUUGAUGUGUGGUCGUAACAUCACGUAUUAAGUGUCCACCACAUGCAUCUGUUAAUGUACACCUCACUCAGGUUUCAACUCAUGUAUGGAAUACUGUGAUAAGUGCAACAGUAUAUGAAAUAUGCACUGGUGUCAAGGCAUUGGUGUAAAAAUAUGUGAAUACUACUUAAGUAGUUUGUAGUGUAUAUAUAUACAUUUUUGUCUACAUUUACUUCACUGCAUUCAUAAAGAAAAUGUACUUUUUACUUACAUUUCCCUUGACACCCAAAAGUACUUGUUACACAUUCACACUGUUCAAGAGAACAUCCCGACUGCCUCUAAUCUAGCCAACUCACUUAAACACAAAUGCUUAGUUUGUAAAUUGGGGUUUGUACAAUUUUGUUUUCUUCCCCUUUUGAAAAUAGCUGUCUGGUUUAAUAACUUUUACUGAUAUGGGAUGUGGCUGGGGGUCACAGCAUUUAUUUCACAUGACCCAUCAAUUUAGACAAGUAACAUUAACCUGGAAUUGGUCCUUAUUGACCACUGUAAUUUGUGCCUCUGAAUUAUUUAAUCAAACAGUGUGCUUAAAGCAUCAGACAAGCUCAGUGCAUAUGUAGUUGAUUUUAUUCAAACACAUAGGGUGUCUGUCGACAUACGGAAAAAUAAGUUUAAACAUUUCGACCAAUCGAUGACUCUCGGUCGACCUCCAUUUUUAUAUUUUCAGGGAACAGCCCUAAGUCAAGGCAAACAAUAUCCUUAUCCUUCCCUCCUCUCCUCCUCCCUGUAUUCUUCAUCCCCUCUCUCCUCCUCCCUGUAUUCUUCAUCCCCUGUAUUCUUCCUCUCCUCUCCUCCUCCCUGUAUCCUUCCUCACCCCUCCUCUCCUCUCCUUCUCCCUGUAUUCUUCCUCUCCCCUCUCCCUCUCCUCCUCCCUGUAUCCUUCCUCACCCCUCUCCUCUCCUUCUCCCUGUAUUCUUCCUCUCCUCCUCCCUGUAUCCUUCCUCACCCCUCUCCUCUCCUUCUCCCUGUAUUCUUCCUCUCCUCCUCCCUGUAUCCUUCCUCACCCCUCUCCUCAUUCUCCCUGUAUUCCUCCUCACCCCUCCUCCUCUCCUUCUCACUGUAUCCUUCCUCACUCCUCUCCUCCUCCCUGUAUCCUUCCUCACCCCUCCUCCUCUCCUUCUCCCUGUAUUCUUCCUCUCCCCCCUCCUCUCCUCCUGCCUGUAUCCUUCCUCACCCCUCCUUCUCCCUGUAUUCUUCCUCUCCCCUCUCCCUCUCCUCCUCCCUGUAUCCUUCCUCACCCCUCCUCUCCCCUCUCCCUCUCCUCCUCCCUGUAUUCUUCCUCACCCCUCCUCCUCUCCUUCUCACUGUAUCCUUCCUCACUCCUCUCCUCCUGCCUGUAUCCUUCCUCACCCCCUCCUCUCCUCCUGCCUGUAUCCUUCCUCACCCCCCCCUCCUCCCUCCUGCCUGUAUCCUUCCUCAGCCCCCUCCUCUCCUCCUGCCUGUAUCCUUCCUCACCCCUCCUCCCCUCCUGCCUGUAUCCUUCCUCACCCCUCCUGCCCUCCUGCCUGUAUCCUUCCUCACCCCUCCUGCCUGUAUCCUUCCUCACCCCUCCUGCCUGUAUCCUUCCUCACCCCUCCUGCCUGUAUCCUUCCUCACCCCUCCUGCCUGUAUCCUUCCUCACCCCUCCUGCCUGUAUCCUUCCUCACCCCUCCUGCCUGUAUCCUUCCUCACCCCUCCUCUCAUUCUCCCUGUAUCCUUCCUCACCCCUCUUCUACUCUCCUCACUCUCAUCCCUCUCACCUGUGUU